rnacentral:rRNA from 1 species
ACUCAAAGGAAUUGACGGGGGCCCGCACAAGCAGCGGAGCAUGUGGUUUAAUUCGAAGCAACGCGAAGAACCUUACCAGGUCUUGACAUCGAGGCAAAGCCGUAGAGAUACGGUGUUCAGCAAUGAGGCCGAAGACAGGUGGUGCAUGGUUGUCGUCAGCUCGUGUCGUGAGAUGUUGGGUUAAGUCCCGCAACGAGCGCAACCCUUAUUGUCAGUUACUAACGGGUAAAGCCGAGGACUCUGACGAGACUGCCGGGGACAACUCGGAGGAAGGUGGGGACGACGUCAAAUCAUCAUGCCCCUUAUGACCUGGGCUACACACGUGCUACAAUGGUGGUAACAGAGAGGCGCGAGCUCGCAAGGGGGAGCGGAUCUCAAAAAAGCCAUCUCAGUUCGGAUUGUGGGCUGCAACCCGCCCACAUGAAGUUGGAGUUGCUAGUAAUCGCGGAUCAGCAUGCCGCGGUGAAUACGUUCCCGGGCCUUGUACACACCGCCCGU